rnacentral:rRNA from 1 species
CACGCCGUAAACGAUGGAUACUAGGUGUGGGGGGUCUGACCCCUUCCGUGCCGGAGUUAACACAAUAAGUAUCCCACCUGGGGAGUACGAUCGCAAGGUUGAAACUCAAAGGAAUUGACGGGGGCCCGCACAAGCAGUGGAGUAUGUGGUUUAAUUCGAAGCAACGCGAAGAACCUUACCAGGAUUUGACAUCCUACUAACGAAGCAGAGAUGCAUCAGGUGCCCUUCGGGGAAAGUAGAGACAGGUGG